AGCGAACGCUGGCGGCAGGCUUAACACAUGCAAGUCGAGCGGGCACUUUCGGGUGUCCGCGGCGGACGGGUGAGUAACGCGUGGGAACGUGCCCCCUGGUUCGGAAUAACUCAGGGAAACUUGAGCUAAUACCGGAUACGCCCUGUUGGGGAAAGGCUUGCUGCCGGAGGAUCGGCCCGCGUCUGAUUAGCUAGUUGGUGAGGUAACGGCUCACCAAGGCGACGAUCAGUAGCUGGUCUGAGAGGAUGAUCAGCCACACUGGGACUGAGACACGGCCCAGACUCCUACGGGAGGCAGCAGUGGGGAAUAUUGGACAAUGGGCGCAAGCCUGAUCCAGCCAUGCCGCGUGAGUGAUGAAGGCCUUAGGGUUGUAAAGCUCUUUUAUCCGGGACGAUAAUGACGGUACCGGAGGAAUAAGCCCCGGCUAACUUCGUG
rnacentral:rRNA from 1 species